ACUUGUAUUCAAAUUGAAUCUUUCCAUUGAGUCGCUCUUGCAAGUAGAACAUGGCAGCUGACGAUUCCUCUAUAAUAAAUACUUUUCUUAGAGCAGGAUUCUUUAUAUUCAACCUUUUUUGUUGUGCGAAAAGAACAUGAUUGUCCAAUGAAUUGUGUAAGUCAAGAUGUUUGCGAUUUGCUAAUGCAUGGAUUGAAUACCAGCAAGGAAUCCUUAAACCCUCUCUUCAUCCUUUGAGGUAAUGGAUUAAACUGUGGAGAAUAAUUAUUAAUUAUACCAGUUUUUAUACUUACUUUUACUUAAUUACUGUUCAAGCUAAAUCGAGUUUGCACAUUACGUUUGUUAGACUCAAAUAUGGCUUUUCCUUGCUAAUGUUUUUAGGGAUGGCCCGUUUGAGGUUCAAGUUUAGUCGGAUAGACUCAAAUAUGGUUUAGCUUUGCUAAUCCUUUUAGGGAUGGCAAAAGCAAGGGUGGAGAGAUGCACGUGUUUUGAGGCGUGGUGGUGAUAUUAGCAUCAGUGCUCAUCUGGUUUUCUUCUUAGGCCUGCCAUUUUGGUUUAUUGUUUGGUUCUGUUUUGCCUUGUGUUCCUCUGUUUUGUUCUGUUCCUGUGACGUUGGGCAUUUUUACCGUAGCUUUUAUGGCGAAUACUAAUUAAAAAAUGGCCUAAUUAUCAUGUGUUCCUUCCAAUUAGAUUUUAUAGACGGACCAUGGAGAUUUCAAAAUGUUGUAGGAAUCUAUGUUUUAAAAUUGUUUUCAGCGACCACCAAGUUUUCAAGCUUUUGACAAAUUGGCCAAAGUUGAUGGGAUAGAACCAAUGAAUUUGUUGAUGUAUAGAUACAAGCUGUGAUGUCUAGUGAAGUAAAAG
rnacentral:lncRNA from 1 species